rnacentral:rRNA from 2 species
GGACCUCAGAUCAGGCAAGAUUACCCGCUGAGUUUAAGCAUAUCACUAA